rnacentral:rRNA from 1 species
UGUUGACCUCGGAUCAGGUAGGAAUACCCGCUGAACUUAAGC